GAUGAACGCUGGCGGCGUGCUUAACACAUGCAAGUCGAACGAUGAAGCCCAGCUUGCUGGGUGGAUUAGUGGCGAACGGGUGAGUAACACGUGAGUAACCUGCCCUUAACUCUGGGAUAAGCCUGGGAAACUGGGUCUAAUACCGGAUAGGAGCGCCUACCGCAUGGUGGGUGCUGGAAAGAUUUAUCGGUUUUGGAUGGACUCGCGGCCUAUCAGCUUGUUGGUGAGGUAAUGGCUGACCAAGGCGACGCCGGGUAGCCGGCCUGAGAGGGUGACCGGCCACACUGGGACUACGACACGGCCCAGACUCCUACGGGAGGCAGCAGUGGGGAAUCUUGCGCAAUGGGCGCAAGCCUGAUGCAGCGACGCCGCGUGAGUGAUGACGGCCUUCGGGUUGUAAACCUCUUUCAGUAGGGAAGAAGCGAAAGUGACGGUACCUGAAGAAGAAGCACCGGCUAACUACGUG
rnacentral:rRNA from 1 species